UACGUAGGGAGCAAGCGUUGUCCGGAAUCAUUGGGCGUAAAGCGCGCGUAGGUGGCUUCGUAAGUCCGCUGUGAAAGUCAAAGGCUCAACCUUUGAAAGCCGGUGGAUACUGUGGAGCUAGAGUACGGAAGAGGCGAGUGGAAUUCCUGGUGUAGCGGUGGAAUGCGCAGAUAUCAGGAGGAACACCAAUAGCGAAGGCAGCUCGCUGGGACGUUACUGACACUGAGGCGCGAAAGCGUGGGGAGCGAACAGG
rnacentral:rRNA from 1 species